rnacentral:ribozyme from 1 species
UAAAUACUGAUGAUUUAAUCCUUAGGAAUACACAGACCCCAACGAAAAGUGAUGCGGCAGAUGCUAUGGUAGGAACUCCUCGUUUCAAUCUAAGAAAAAAAGUCGAAGAGACACAGAAGCAGCUA